AACCGAUCAUUAACUGUAUUGCAUAAUUUUUCAUUCAAUUUUCUGUUAUGAUUAGUUUAUUUCAAAUGUUCAAAUUUUACUUCUACACUCAUGGCUAUAAAUUAAUAACCGCUUUUUCACGCGAUCAUUUUACAUUUCGAACUUUUUCUAUCACUGAGCUCGUAACAUCAACUGCACCAUCGGACGAGUUGAAAAUCUUGAAAACACAAAUAAGCACAAUUAAACAUUUCUAUGAGAAAAGCCGGCAACAUUAGUUUGGUUUUCGGACGGUAGAUGGCAAAAGUUUCUGGUAAUCGACAAAAAAUUAAUUUUUGCUUCAAUUGCAAGAUCAUUCAGUUGUGAUUUAAACAACAAUUUAAGACCCUUUGAUUGCAGUUUGGAUCCUUUAACUUUACAAAAAUCUUUUGAAUACCAAUUAACUCAAUUAGUGGAUUAUAAGAUUUAAUCUUCCAUGGGAAAAUUGUUUACACUCAUUAAAUCAAAUUAUCGAUUGAUUGUCUUGAAAAGUCUUUCCGUAAAUUAAACUUGAGUUUAUUAUUAGAUUAGAGAUCUGAAAUUCAAGUAUAAUUUGAAUAUGAGGAAACUAUUUAUGAAAGUAAAACCUGGGAUCGAAAUAAAAGGAACCCAAAAAACUUUAAAGUUCAGUCAAUUGUCAUGGAAGGUUAAAUUGAACCUUUUAUACCUUCGGUUUAAGUGACUCAGAAUCUAAUUUUGUUGGACCCUCGAGUUUUCAGUUGCAAAUGAACAAGUUUCACUAUUAGUGUAUUAUCUCAUCUUAAUUCAUGUUCAGUCAUCUUAAUUUGCUCAUUAGGUUUCACCGUACAUCUUAUUGUAUCCAUUUGGAUUUGCUCUCCUUAUCGAGUAUCUUGCAUUAGAUAUCAGUAUCCAUAAUCCAGUAAUGAAGGUGAAGAAAUAAAAUUAAACAGAUUAUGCCAUUGAGCUUAUUAUUGUUUUACUUUUACUCUUGAUUAAUUACUGGGUUGCUAUUUUAAGAUUUUAAUUUACUAAUUUACUGGCUUUUGACUUCUAAUUAGCCUAAUUUAUGCCACUGUUGAUUGACAACUGUUAUGAAAGGUGUUAACCAUGUCAUCCAUUGUAAUAGCUAAAAGUGUUUGGGAAAUGCUCUGUGAGAGGCCACAUCGAUCGAAGCAACGGAAUACUCAAACAAAGCUGCCAUGAUGACACUGCUUGUGAACAAAAUUAUCGCCAUAUGGUACUUUAAAUUUCUGGUAAUUGGCUGAAGAUGAUAUUUCAGAUAAAAGUCUUGGCUUUCAAAGGACCGAUGGAUUCGUUGAAUGGUUUCAGCUCAGGAGGACAAAUCUAAUGAAAGAAAUGAAAUCGUCGGAAUCCCAAAUCACUUUAUUGCUCAAUGGUUACCUCAAAACAUCAACAAAAAGUGAACCAAAAAUCAAGAUUGUUUUCAAUUUGUUUUUUUGAAUUUUCAGAUUCAAUUUCAUUCUGACUCUGCAGUUUAUCUUAUUGAUCAAAGAUCAGAUUGGAAUGAGUGAAUGGGGGAAAAAGAAAUAUUGACACACAUGGUUUAAACUACUGAUUACAUACAGCUUUGUUGUUUUCACAAAUGAACUGUUGUCAAUCAGUUUCCACUUUUUUUUGUGUUCAUUAAAUUUAUAAUUGAGCCCAAUGAUGAUUAAUUUAUACUCAAUUGUUGUCCUUUAACAAUCAAUUGCAAGGCCAUGACAUUGUAAUCAGCUUUAACUCAACCUAACCAAUUCUGUAACCACAACAAAACAAGAGCCAAGUUGAAACUUGAAAUUAUUAGACUGUUGAAUAUCAAUUAUUACUUGUAACAAAAUAUUCCAGUCUUUUCCAUUCACUUUAGCUGAAUAUUUCCUUCAGUCAUAUUCAUAUACUUUUACAUCUCAACAUUUAUGAAUAAUUAACCCGUUUGCAAGUUAUCAAUUUUAAUAUUUGACAAAAAGUAUUUGACACAAAGACAGGAAUAACAAGACGACAAUGCAUGUAUCAAAUCUCAAGUUUAUCCAAUCAAUAUGCACCAUUUUUCAACCAACCUUUUCAUUUUCAAUUUUUAAUACAGCCAAUCGAUUGACAUGAUGCCUGAAAGCAGAAUUGUGAAGAAACCCUCUUUUCUGCCAAUGGAAUUAUCUGAUCAUUUCCAGAUGAAAAUAUCCAACAAGUUGGACUGGUUAAGUUGAGAAUUUUUGGUGAAAGCGAAAAAAGUGGAAUUGGAAAAGUAAAGCUGAAGCAUUUCAAUGAUGACGGGAGUCUACAAAGGAGAUGUAAAAAAUGUUCAUGAUGAUGAUAAGCAGACAGACAUGAAAAGUUGGAACAAAGAAAAGGGUUAAAAGUGAAAAUGGACUUUGAAAAAAUUAAAGCAAAGGAGAAAAGAAAAAAAACAGAAUUACUCAAGAUAACCUGGCUAGGAGAAAAGCUAAAGAACUGAACAAAUCAUGAUGAUGAUAAUAAUAAUGAUAUGAAGAAAAGGUAAAGAGAGAAAAGAAUCGAGCCUAAAUCAAGGUUACAGGGUCGUUAAUCUAAUCGCUGGCCAUGAUAAUUAGCUUUUUUAGGGUUUACUCUUUUUUUUUAUUUACUGGACACAAAAAAUUCAUUCCAUUCACUUGGUUGAACAUAUUUAGUUGAACAAGAAUUUCAACCUCAUCAUGACUAUAAUUAUCAUCAUCAUCAUUACUAUUAUUAUUAUUAUGAGCACUUUUGCAUUGUUAAUAUCAAUAUUAGAAAAGGGUAAAAUGAAGAGGUUAAGAUGAAGGGGAAAAAAUAAACACCGAGUAACCAGUGGUUCAUUUUUUUCCCAUUAAUAUUUCAUUUUUAGUGAAAGUUCUGAAUCGUACACAUUCUCAGUUCCAUCAGUGCUCAUACACCACACCCAUUCAUCUUUAUCUUUCUUUUUCUUUCUUUCACUUUGUUGUUUAUUGUUGUGAUGGCUCAUCAACUCUGAAUUUUUCAGUAACCAUGGAACCAGAAUUCUGUAAAGAAAGGCUGAAACUGGUAAAAAUAAGAAGCAAGAAGAAGAAGAAGAAGAAACAUCUUUUUCCUCAUCUUCUCAUGUAAACCCUUUUUUUCUCCUACAUUGAGAAUAAUUUUUCUCUUUUUUUUCUUGAAAUAACCUUGGGUUGAAAAUUCAGGGCCAACGAGUUAACAACAAUACAACUUAUUCUCAUAAUUAUAAACAUUUACGUUGGCUCGUUACGAGCCUUUAACUCUUUCUCUUCGUGUUUGUCUUUAUCAUCUUCAUCAUUUUGAUCAUCAUCAUCAUCAUAAUCACAACCAUCGUCAUCGUUAUUAUUAUAAAAUCUGGUUUCCUUUUGUAUUGCGCUAUUUGCUCAGGCACAGUAAACAAUUGGUUAAUCAUUUGUCUCGUUUU